UUUGCGAGGCCAGAAGGAAACGUAAGAAGUCUUAGAACGGAUACGGAAAAUCUAAGAAUAUACUUAUGAUGGCAGCUGCUUCAACAUCGUUGUGGAUGGGAGAUUUGGAUCCUUACAUGGACGAAUCCUUUAUUUCUAUGGCUUUUAAACAAAUGGGGGUUGCAGUCAAAGGAAUUAAAGUCAUUAAGAGUAAAACAACAGGGUUGCCGGCAGGAUACUGUUUUAUAGAUUUCCACGAUCCAGAAAACGCUCACCAAGCCAUGCUGAAGCUGAAUGGAAAGAACAUCCCUAACAGUAGUCCGGUAGGUGUCUAUCAGGGACAGAGCUCAGACCCAGAGCUGGGCCAGUAUCAAACCAAGUUAACAGCUAAUCUCUCGCCAACUGAUGACUUGUACCAUGUUUUAAAUUUUAUUAGGCAGGGGCAAUUUUCUAGUGUUGAAUACAGACUGGAUAGCUUUUUGUUCCCACAAAGCAGGCUGUUGAUGGUUUUCUGAAGGUAAACUGUGUCCACCGGUAUCAAAGACUUGCAUAUUUAUGAAUGAUGAGUAGGGUUAUGUUCAAAAGGUUUGUGACACUGUGUUGAUAUAUUCUUUUCUCUUCGUUUUUCAGACAAGACGUUUCAAGUUAAACAGUGCUAGCUAUGGAAAAGAACACCUAUCAACUCCAGAGUAUUCCCUGUUUGUGGGUGACCUGACAGAAGAAGUAGAUGAUUACACACUGUACCAGGCGUUCUCCAGAAGGUUUAAGUCUUGCAGGUCUGCAAAAGUGGUCCUGGAGCCGAGUGGUAAGAGCAAGGGGUACGGUUUUGUGAGGUUUACAGAGGAGACAGACCAACAGAGAGCCCUGAUAGAAAUGCAGCACAUGCAGGGGGUCGGGAAAAAGCCAAUACGUGUCAGUCUUGCCACACCGAAAAGGCCAAUGGCACAAGACCCCAACUCCACGUACUAUGGGAACUACUAUGGCCAGAAUUACUACAACAACCAGUACUAUAAUUACUAUGGAUACAAUGCCUACAAUCAGUACUAUGAUCCAUACAGUAACUAUAAUAAUUAUUAUGAAACCCAACAAGACGAAGACAUGGAAGCAUUAGAAGAACCUGAAGUAGAGGUAGAUGUAUUCAGAUAUAACAAAGACUACAUGGAGCAAAGUGAGGAGAUCUUUGAUGUGCUUGAACUUUCUCGAUGGACUCCACUAGAUUCUGUGAACUCCAAACUUCCAACUGUUAAAUUGGUGUAAAUGUUCCGUUGUUUGGAGGCUCCUUCUUUUCAAUGGCAACUACACUUCCUGUUAAAAACUCACGGCAAUGUAAUGAGUGGACCAGUUGUGAACAUGUGUUCUGUUGAUGAUAAAUUUUGUUGAUUUCAUGAUUGUGAAAUAUUGACUAUUUUUUAUCAGAAGUAAAAUCAUGUGAUUUUUUGUAUAUAUUGAAAUAAAAUAUUGUGCAAUCUU
rnacentral:misc_RNA from 1 species